rnacentral:tRNA from 1 species
GCAGUGGAGGUUCAGUGAUAGAAUUCUCACCUUCCAUGUGGGAGACCCGGGUUCGAUUUCUGGCCAAUGCA